GUGGGGAAUAUUGGACAAUGGGGGGAACCCUGAUCCAGCCAUGCCGCGUGUGUGAAGAAGGCCUUUUGGUUGUAAAGCACUUUAAGCGAGGAGGAGGCUACCGAGAUUAAUACUCUUGGAUAGUGGACGUUACUCGCAGAAUAAGCACCGGCUAACUCUGUGCCAGCAGCCGCGGUAAUACAGAGGGUGCAAGCGUUAAUCGGAUUUACUGGGCGUAAAGCGCGCGUAGGUGGCCAAUUAAGGCAGAUGUGAAAUCCCCGAGCUUAACUUGGGAAUUGCAUUCGAUACUGGUUGGCUAGAGUAUGGGAGAGGAUGGUAGAAUUCCAGGUGUAGCGGUGAAAUGCGUAGAGAUCUGGAGGAAUACCGAUGGCGAAGGCAGCCAUCUGGCCUAAUACUGACACUGAGGUGCGAAAGCAUGGGGAGCAAACAGGAUUAGAAACCCGGGUAGUCC
rnacentral:rRNA from 1 species